GUACUCGCUUCAGCAGCACAUAUACUAAAAUUGAAUGAUACAGAGGAGAUUAGCAAGGCCCCUGCGCAAGGAUGACAUCAAAUUUGCGAAGCCUUCUAUAUUUUU
ensembl:snRNA U6 U6 spliceosomal RNA